CGCCUUGCCAGCCCGCUCAGAAACUUACAGGAAUUGACGGGGCCCGCACAAGCGGAGGAGCAUGUGGUUUAAUUCGAUGAUACGCGAGGAACCUUACCUGGGCUCGAACGUAAGAUGACUGUAGGUGAAAGCUUACAUCUCUUCGGAGCAUUUUACGAGGUGCUGCAUGGUUGUCGUCAGCUCGUGCCGUGAGGUGUCGGGUUAAGUCCCAUAACGAGCGCAACCCCUACCUUUAGUUGCCAUCAGGUUAAGCUGGGGACUCUAAAGGAACUGCCUACGCAAGUAGUGAGGAAGGCGGGGAUGACGUCAAAUCAGCACGGCCCUUACGUCCAGGGCUACACACGUGCUACAAUGGCCGAUACAGAGGGCAGCUACCUGGUGACAGGAUGCAAACCUCCAAAGUCGGUCUCAGUUCGGAUCGGAGUCCGCAACCCGACUCCGUGAAGUUGGAUUCGCUAGUAAUCGCGCAUCAGCCAUGGCGCGGUGAAUACGUUCCCGGGCCUU
rnacentral:rRNA from 1 species